ensembl:lncRNA
CUGGCAAGUGGUAAUACUAUACUAGUGACAUUGAAAAGUCAUCAACAGUUUUACCUGCAUUCAGACCACUUGUUUUCAGAUAUCACAAAAAGUGCUUUCGUAAUGAAUAAGCACAAAAUGAAGUGGAUAAAAGGGCUGCGGAUAAAAGAAGAUGAGAGGGCCGAGCUGAGAGUUGCUUUUUCCCGGAUGCUUGUGGUAUUGCGAAUGCUGUGUCUGCGGUUGAUGCGUGGGAAGAAAGCACUUCACCAUCAAACUUCAUGCAAAAAUGCUUCUGUUAAUCACCCGCAGCGCCAGAGAAGAAGGAGGGUUUCCAGAAACAACAAGGUCUGUAAUACCUGGAGAGAACUGUCCAAUGGUUUCCAAUUAAUCUCAAUGGCAGCUUGUUGGCCAACGCAGGAACCUUGAAAAGAAUAUGACCUGCUUUCUGUCAUCUUUGGAUGUGAGCAAAGAUUUUGAUGGGUGAGUCUGUUUCACACUUUUAAGAGCCCUCCAAAAAAAAAACAACUUUUGAAUAAUAGUAUUUGAAUAAUCAGAACUGAAGUGAAUCAUUACUGUUAUAUACAGUAUAUAUAGUUUGUGGAUUUUGAUGUUUCUUACAAGGAACCAGCUUUCCACUUCACAAGACAUUAAUUGAUGGACUGAAGUGGUGUGGAUUAUUAUGAUGUUUUUAUCAGCUGUUUGGACUCUCAUUCUGACGGCACCCAUUCACUGCAGAGGAUCCACUGGUGAGCAAGUCAUGUAAUGCUAAAUUUCUCCAAAUUCUGUUCUGACGAAGAAACAAACUCCAUCUUAGAUGGCCUGAGGUGAGUAAAUUUUCAGCAAAUUUUUGGGUACACAAGUCCUUAAACUGCAUUUGACAUAGUUAAUUAGAUUAACAUUAUAAAUCCCUAACAAUGUAUGACAGGACAUCUUUAACAAAAAUCUUAUUAGAUCCUGUACUCCAAAUCUAGCAUGUUUUUUUUUUUUAAAUUUAUUUAUUAAUUUUUUUUUUUUUUUGCAGCACUGGCAUGCUUGUAUGGAGUCUUUAAUUUCACAAGCAUCACUCCAAACAACUGAUCAUGCAUGCGGCCCAUAUGCUGAACUGACUGCCUUUGUGUCAAACAGCUGAAUAGGCAUUGAGAAUGUGAAUAACAUCGUGCAGCAUUACAAAAAAGCCAUGUUGUUGAUAUUGAAUCUUUUGUUACAAUGCUAGAUGGUGCAAAGCCUUAUUUUCUGAGAAUAUAAUUUGAGAAACUCUUGAAUCUGUGCCGAACUGACAGUUGUAGAGGUUGGAUGCAAGCAUGACAAAUGUAUUCAGGGCUUACGGGACAGUACACAACACGGACGUCUCUGUUUGCUGAUUCCUAAAUUUUAAUUACAAAUUUGGGGUAUGUCAGAAAUAUAGUUCCGCUACAUCUUCCAAAUAUGGUGGCGGCACUAACAUGCUAAUAAGUAACGGCACGGAGAUGUUGGAAGUUGGAAAGUAACAUGAAUACUGAUAAAGACACUGAUUGAUAAUGAAGUACUUGCGGCAUAAAUAUUCAGCACUUGCAGAUCACUACGGAUUAGAGCACUUCUUUCAACGCUGCGACUUCAAGGCAUUGAAUUACCAAUUUUUCAGUUUGGUGGCACUUAACAUCAAGUGUGUCAGGGAUGUGAGCCAAAAACUUUGUGAUAAGUCAUAACAGAACGUCAGUGGAAUAAUAUGAAUAGAGGUACAUGUAUGCAUAUCUAUAAACAUCUGAAAUCACUCAAUAGAUGAUUAGAAAGGUGUUUGUGUCUUGAUAUAAUUAUGUUGGAAGGGAAGGAACGUUGUGUGUUAAAGAGCACUUUGAGCUUAAGUGCACUAAAAGUGGAGAACACAAGUACUGUAAGUAGUCAAUUAUCAGAUGCUUUUAUCUCAAGUAACCCACUGUAUACUUAUUGCAGUGACAAGCCCCUGGAGCUCCUGCUGUUAAGUGCUCUGCUCAAGGGCACAGUGGUGAUCGCUCAGACCAGCAGCCUUCUAGUGUACCAGCCCUGAGCUUUAUACAUUAAGUCACAUGAACCCUACAUAUUACCGGAUCAGGGGCUCGCAGGGCACAUCUUUGGAGCCCUUUGCUCGCAUAUUACAGUACACUGUAAUAAUGUCUACAAUCAUAAUCAGAUUGACCAUUUUAAAAUCUGUUAUUACAGUAUAUACACUACUAUUUUAGGGUCAGAAAGUUUUUUUUUUUUUUAAUGACAAGCAAGGACACAUUAAAUUGGCCAAAAUUGACAGUAAAGACAUUUAUAAUGAUACACAAUAUUUCUAUUUCAAAAAACACUGUUCUUUGGAACUUCGUAUUCAUCCAAGAAUGUACCGUGGUCAUCAUGUGACACUAAAGACUUGAGUAAUGACUGCUGAAUAUUCAGCUUUGCCAUCACAGGAAUAAAUUACAUUUUAAAAUAUACUAAAAGAGAAAA